AUCUUUGUGCAGUGGUAGUAUCAUCUCUUGUUAGGUUUAUCCGAGGUGUGAUUAUUGCUAGUUGAAAACUUAACCCAAUAUCCCGCCUUCAUGACUUGAAAUAUAGUCAGCUAUGGCAAUUUAGGAUAGUCUCCAUUGAAA